rnacentral:rRNA from 1 species
CACUUCUAAGGAAGGCAGCAGGCGCGCAAAUUACCCAAUCCUGACUCAGGGAGGUAGUGACAAGAAAUAACAAUAAACCGGCUUAUGCCGGUUUAAUUGGAAUGAGUACAAUUUAAACAUCUUAACGAGGAACAAUUGGAGGGCAAGUCUGGUGCCAGCAGCCGCGGUAAUUCCAGCUCCAAUAGCGUAUACUAAAGUUGUUGCAGUUAAAAAGCUCGUAGUUGGAUUUCUGUGGGGACGGAGCGGCCGGCCGCACAUCGCGGUUCGAGCUAGCGCUUUCCCUACAUCCUGCCGCGAACCGUGCUACCAUUAGUUUGGUGACGCCGGGGAUCGGCUCGAUUACUUUGAGAAAAAUAGAGUGUUCAAAGCAGGCCACAUGCCUUGAAUAAGUUAGCAUGGAAUAAUAACUAAGGACUUCGGUUCUAUUUUGUUGGUGUUCGGGACUGAAGUAAUGAUUGAUAGGGACAGUUGGGGCGGUCUGUAUUCCAAAGCGGGAGGUGAAAUUCUUAGACCUUCGGAAGACAAACAGCUGCGAAAGCGUUCCGCAAGGAUGUUCCCUUUGAUCAAGAACGAAAGUUGGGGGAUCGAAGACGAUCAGAUACCGUCGUAGUCUCAACUAUAAACUAUACCAGCUAGGGAUCGGCCAACGUUAUUUCAAACCGACUUGGUCGGCACCUUAUGAGAAAUCAAAGCAUCUGGGUUCCGGGGGGAGUAUGGUCGCAAGGCUGAAACUUAAAGGAAUUGACGGAAGGGCACCACCAGCCGUGGAGCCUGUGGCUUAAUUUGACUCAACACGGGAAAACUUACCAGGUCCAGACAUAGUAAGGAUUGACAGAUUGAUAGCUCUUUCUUGAUUUUGUGGGUGGUGGUGCAUGGCCGUUCUUAGUUGGUGGAGUGAUUUGUCUGGUUAAUUCCGUUAACGAACGAGACCCCAGCCUGCUAAAUAGCGCGCGUGAGCUUUGCUCGCGGCGAGCUUCUUAGAGGGACUAUGAUGCGCGAUAGCACAUGGAAGUUUGGGGCAAUAACAGGUCUGUGAUGCCCUUAGAUGUUCUGGGCCGCACACGGGCUACACUGGCGCCUGCAACGAGCAUAUCAGCUGGCCCGAGAGGGUCUUGGCUAAUCUUUUGAACCGGCGCCGUGCUUGGGAUUGACCUUUGCAAUUGUUGGUCAUGCAACGAGGAAUGCCUUGUAAACGCGAGUCAUCAGCUCGCAUUGAAUACGUCCCUGCCCUUUGUACACACCGCCCGUCGCUCCUACCGAUGAAUGUUCCGAUGAAAUUUUCGGAGAGCACCUGUGAACUUGGCUCUGCCUUGCGAACGGGAGGCUCAAAGUCACUUAAAUCUGAACAUUUCGAGG